UCCUGUUGAAAUUAUCAGUAGAGUGUGGGGAGACAUAAAGAAUAAAAGGAAAGCAAAAGACUACUCUUUGGUCCAUAGGAAACCUAUAAUUUAAGGUAUCAUGUCUUCCAUUUGCUUUCAGAAGAUGUGAUUAUGAUGGAUGGUGCUUCAAAGCAAUUAUAAAGUUUCCAUCAGCUGUAUUUACAUGGCCAAUUAUAUGAAUCUUGUCAACCUUCUGGCCUGCUACAUUGUUGCUGAAAAAAUCUGGAGAUUGGAUCAGCAUUUCUAAUAUUUGCCUCACAAGCAAAAGGGUGAAGAAAAGGGGGUAAGUAAAAGAAAAGAGCUUGGCAGAAAGUGAUCAACUGAGUUGGGC
rnacentral:lncRNA from 1 species